rnacentral:rRNA from 1 species
UACGUAGGGGGCAAGCGUUGUCCGGAUUUAUUGGGCGUAAAGAGCGCGUAGGCGGCUUGAUAAGCGUGCGGUGAAAGCCCGGGGCUCAACCCCGGGUCGGCCGUGCGAACUGUCGAGCUGGAGCACUGUAGAGGCAGGUGGAAUUCCGGGUGUAGCGGUGGAAUGCGUAGAGAUCCGGAAGAACACCGGUGGCGAAGGCGGCCUGCUGGGCAGUGGCUGACGCUGAGGCGCGACAGCGUGGGGAGCAAACAGG